CCCUUAGAUGUUCUGGGCCGCACGCGUGCUACACUGAGUGGGUCAGCGGGUCAGGUUGCGCGAAAGUGUUUCCUAAUCUUUAAAUCCGCUCGUGAUGGGGAUUGACGGUUGCAAUUUUCCGUCAUGAACGAGGAAUACCUUGUAAGCGCGGGUCAUCAUCCCGCGCUGAAUACGUCCCUGCCCUUUGUACACACCGCCCGUCGCUCCUACCGAUUGAGUGGUCCGGUGAGGCUUUGGGAUCUGAGCGGAAAGAGCGUUUCGCUGUUUCUGCCCGGAAAACUCAGUCGAACCUUAUCAUUUAGAGGAAGGGGAAGUCGUAACA
rnacentral:rRNA from 1 species